UACGUAGGGCGCAAGCGUUGUCCGGAAUUAUUGGGCGUAAAGAGCUCGUAGGCGGUUUGUCGCGUCUGCUGUGAAAACCUAAGGCUCAACCUUGGGCUUGCAGUGGGUACGGGCAGACUAGAGUGCGGUAGGGGUGACUGGAAUUCCUGGUGUAGCGGUGGAAUGCGGCAGAUAGUCAGGAGGAACACCGGUGGCGAAGGCGGCGCCUGGGUCC
rnacentral:rRNA from 1 species